rnacentral:tRNA from 1 species
GUAGCCUGUGGUCUAGUGGUUAAGAUACAUGACUGGGACCUUGAGGUUGGUGGUUCAAGCCCCAAUCCAGCCACA